rnacentral:tRNA from 1 species
GCCCGCCUAGCUCAAUCGGAUAGAGCGUCAGACUCUUACAACUGUGCACUUACUACUACUCAAGUUAUCUGAAGGCUGCGAGUUCGACCCUCGCGGUGGGCU